rnacentral:rRNA from 1 species
UACGUAGGGUGCGAGCGUUGUCCGGAAUUAUUGGGCGUAAAGGGUUCGUAGACGGUCUGUUGCGUCGGGGGUGAAAACUCAGGGCUUAACCCUGAGCCUGCGUCCGAUACGGGCAGACUAGAGGUAUGCAGGGGAGAACGGAAUUCCUGGUGUAGCGGUGAAAUGCGCAGAUAUCAGGAGGAACACCGGUGGCGAAGGCGGUUCUCUGGGCAUUACCUGACGCUGAGGCGCGAAAGUGUGGGGAGCGAACAGG